rnacentral:rRNA from 1 species
UGGGGAAUCUUGCUCAAUGGGCGCAAGCCUGAAGCGGCGACGCCGCGUGUGGGAAGAAGGUCUUCGGAUUGUAAACCACUUUCAGGAGGGAAGAAGCGAGAGUGACGGUACCUGCAGAAGAAGCACCGGCUAACUACGUGCCAGCAGCCGCGGUAAUACGUAGGGUGCAAGCGUUGUCCGGAAUUAUUGGGCGUAAAGAGCUCGUAGGCGGUCUGUCGCGUCUGCUGUGAAAGUUCGGGGCUCAACCCCGGAACUGCAGUGGGUACGGGCAGACUAGAGUGCGGUAGAGGAGACUGGAAUUCCUGGUGUAGCGGUGGAAUGCGCAGAUAUCAGGAGGAACACCAGUGGCGAAGGCGGGUCUCUGGGCCGCAACUGACGCUGAGGAGCGAAAGCGUGGGGAGCGAACAGGAUUAGAUACCCCCGUAGUCC